AACGAACGCUGGCGGCGUGGAUAAGACAUGCAAGUCGAACGGGACAACAUCUGUAGCAAUACAGGUGUUGUUUAGUGGCGAACGGGUGCGUAACACGUGGGCAAUCUGCCGAGAAGUGGGGGAUAGCUCGCCGAAAGGCGAAUUAAUACCGCAUAUGAUCAGUGAAGACAUCUUCACGACAUCAAAGCCGGGGCAACCUGGCGCUUCUUGAUGAGCCCGCGGCCUAUCAGCUAGUUGGUGAGGUAACGGCUCACCAAGGCUAUGACGGGUAGCUGGUCUGAGAGGACGACCAGUCACACUGGAACUGAGACACGGUCCAGACACCUACGGGUGGCAGCAGUCGAGUAAUUUUUCUCAAGUGGGGCAACCCUGAAGGAGCGACGCCGCGUGGAGGAUGAAGGUC
rnacentral:rRNA from 1 species